UUGCAUGAGAAUUAAGGUCUAACCUUUAUCUUUCAGUACUUCCAAAGGUUUUAAAGGGAGAUUUGAUAUUCUUCGGAUCAACAGAUGGUCUAGCCGUCGUAGUUGUACCUGUUUACAGCGAUCCAGUGAUAGACACAGCUAGUUUUAAAAGGAAUGGCAACUUUAAUUUACCUUAUGACGAAAAGUAUGAUAUCUCCUAUCAGAAAGUGCCAUUAAAUGUUAUGUUUUAUGAUAAGCUUGUCACUUUGCCGGGAGAGGAAAUUCAGAUUGCAGUCAAUAAUUUCACAGAAGAUGACUUCGGAAAUUAUACACUAGCUUUAAGAAACAGUCUAGGACAAACUGUAGUGACAGUUGCUAUUCUUCCUGAAAGUGAACCUUUUUCUCCGAAAGCUUUUACUUUGAAAUGGAGAAAGAACACUCCUACUGUUCUCUGGGAAAAGGACAUGAAUGGUGGACAUGAACAAUCAUUUGUCAUUCAGACAAUGAAAGAUGGCGCAUCGAAGUGGUUAAAUUAUAGAAUUAUCAACGAAAAUGAAGAUGUGUUUAAAACAAAUGAAAGUUUUUAUCUGACUAAUCUUACUAACUUGAAGCCAGGAUCGUACAAAGUCCGCAUUAUAGCCAGAAAUAUAAUCAGUGAUUCUAAUCCAGUGUAUCUCAAUUCUUUCUUGACAGUCGAGGCACUCUAAACAGAAACAGAGGGAAAAGGUAGUGAAUUUACUUUAACAGGGCCCAUUAUAGGAGCAGCUUCCGGUACCUUCUUCGUUAUUACUGUUGUUUCUGUUAUGGUUGUUGUGAUGCAUAAAAAACGAACUAGACACAAAUCCGAGGAGUGUACGGAUCUACGCACACCGUACAACACACUCGAAAUCCCAAAAGAAAACGAAUAUGAGGAACCAGCCUCAUAUGCUUCGGUAACAGUAUACGCAGAUACAGCAAAAUCGACGGCAGAUAUGAACGCAAUAUACGAAAAUGUUGAACUUAAACAAAUGCCACACAGACAAAGUUUCAAUUAUCAAAACAUAAAUUAAUAACAUGGCGAAAUGAACUGGUGUGUAUCAUUGAACUAAAAACUUUGAACAAGAAUUUGAAAUUAUAUAUUCAGGAAUAUUCUAGAGGUACUGAACUAAAUGUUGUUUAAUAACAUAUUCAUACACAACUCCAGUACCUGUUUUAAGGUAAAGGGUGUAACGUAAUGAGCAUCUUUCCAAAAUACUUUAGAAUACAAAAUAUAAAAAUAGAACGAACAUAAAAUCAAAUGUUAAAAAUCAACAUUUGUUUACAUAUUGCAGUGCGCAUUAUCAAUCUGUACAUUAUAUUUACCAUUAUAUUAUAUCAAGUCUUCACUUCGUGGGUAAUACAAUUAACAAUAUAUAUAUUCAUACUUUAAUUAUACUAUAUAUACUGUAUACAUAUACUAUAGGAACUUUAAUAUUGUGUCAGUUUGAGUUUACGUUUUGUUAGAAAUGCACUUUCAGUAUUUUAAACAAAUAGAUCUAUGAACGUAUAUUGAAAAUGUCUUCAGAUUGUGGUACUUGUAGGACACCGGAGAACUGAGCAUUUAGUAAACUGUAGGAUAGUAUACAUGAUAAAAAUGCCGUACAUACUGUAUGAGGAUAAUACAAACUCUUUUAACUUCAAAAACGUGUAAGUAGUAUAUACUAAUGCAUUACAGAGCCGGUUAUAAUGGUUUAGCUAAUCAGCGGAGCUUUGUAUUUUGUUGGGUCCAGAGUCGCAUUGACACAAUUUAGGUAAUAUGGCGACUUUUCCAGCUGAUUUUGAUGGUAGAGGAACUUUAUAUCAGACAUUUGGAGGUACUUUGGUAGAACCAGCUGCAUUGCUUCA